AGUAAUGCUUGGGAAUCUGGCUUAUGGAGGGGGAUAACUACGGGAAACUGUAGCUAAUACCGCGUAGUAUCGAGAGAUGAAAGUGUGGGACCUUCGGGCCACAUGCCAUAGGAUGAGCCCAAGUGGGAUUAGGUAGUUGGUGAGGUAAAGGCUCACCAAGCCGACGAUCUCUAGCUGGUCUGAGAGGAUGACCAGCCACACUGGGACUGAGACACGGCCCAG
rnacentral:rRNA from 1 species